rnacentral:sRNA from 1 species
GAAAAUUAGCGUUAGACAAUAAAAAAAAAAACAAGAGGAGAAGAUUAAAAAAGAUUAUAGCAACUGGUCUAUGGAACAUAAUGGAGAAAAAAAUGAAAUAUCUGGCGUUGGAGGGGCGGAUCCUCACUUAGCAUGACACUCUAAAUUCCAUGUUUCACAAAUAAGACAGUAUCUGACAUACUGCGAGCAUCUGGCAACCUAAUUACGAUUUAAUUAUCUUUGAAUACAUCUUAUCAUAAGCAAAUAUUACAUUUUUACAAAUAUUUACCAUUUUCUCAAUUACAAUCCAUAGACCAGUUGCUUGAAAUGAAUUUUUUUUUCUGUCUUCCUCCUCUGUUCUUUAUUUUAUUGUCUUAUGCUAAAUUUUCUUUCGAUAUUGACAAUGAUAAAAUGAUUCUAUCUACCUGUUGAACCUUUGUUGACAAAGAGGUUGCUCCCAAUUAGAGAAAGGGUUCGAAUGAAGUUCGGAAUCACGCUAACAGAACACACCCCGACAUAUAAACAACAGGAAAUGUCUUUAAAAUCAAACAAAAGUUCAAAGGCAUGGCAAUUUCAAACGCUGCUAAUUAUCCAGAAUCAAUCUUCAUAGGAAUAAAAGACCCCGGUUCAGCUUUUUUUGUCUCAUCGCUUCGACAUGUUUUAUAAUUCUUUUUCAAAAAGCCCACGGCAAUUGUCAUCAAAGGGGAACUUUAAUGUGUAGGAUAUAUCUAAAAGCUCGACAUAUUAAAAAUCGUUUACAUAAUUGAUAGUAACCGCUUACUAAUUCCGACAGCUUGCAGUUAAUUGUAACUCUCUGAUGUUCCAUAAAUUCUGAUUAAAGUGUCCUAGCUUUGAAUAAUUUUUCAUGAUCACAAUUCCUAACCAUCCAGGCAGAUGAGAAACUAAUUCUGCAUUUUCAUUAUAUCGCAAGAACUAUUUAUGGACCGUCUUCCCAAACAUUUGCAGUGAGGAGGAGGGGGUACGGAAGGGGAAAGUGGUAGCUCUCGCAAAGUAAUAACAUUUUAUUUGUAGAUAUGAACAGAAUACAUGUAGUUAUUACAUGUAUCCUUUAGCAAUUUUAACGAAAUUGAAAGCUUUAUGAAUACAUGUACUAGUUGUUUGUAGAAUUGAUGACUUUGUCGAACGAAGCGAACCUUGCCAGAUUAAUUGACAUGUAUAUUGCAAGAAAAGGGGGGGGGGGGUGUCAAAAAGCAUAAUCAAAUAUAAUGUAUUGUCAAUUUUUGAGAUUAUUUUGUUCAUGAAGAAAACGUUUGUUUUUUCAAUCUUAUGUUCUCAACUCUGUGGGUUUUUUCCCUUACAAAAGUCGGAUAAAGAGUAAUAUGUGGGUAUUAGAGGCGCACCAUAUGCCAAGAUCUUCUUUGAACAUUAAUUUGCAUAGAAAUAAAAAUAGAGACGAAUAAAUCAGAAUAUUUCAUUUUAUGAUCUAAAAAUACAUACAGAAACAAUUACAUCACUGAAAUACGAACUCCUUGAUCGUAGAUUCGAGAACUUGUUCCGUGUUAUUUGACAGGAUUUUGGAAGAAAUCUGGUAGUAAACCUAUUUUUCUUAUUGAAAAUAGCGGGAGUGAAAAGUCUUAUAUCAUUGUUUGUGUAACAUUUUAAAAAAUAAGGUCUGAAUCUGUUACUGUAACACCUCGUCUCCCCCUACAUAAUGUCAAAUGGCAAUGUGACGUAGGCCUGUCUAUUUCAUUGCUCGCCACUUAGCUAUGGCUCUUUGAAAUCAACAAGAUUUGUCUGGCUUUUGACCUAAGACUUCGCAGUCUGUGCAUAUUGCACUUAAUACCAGCAUCAUUUUUAACUUGUUUUAAGGCAAGAAAUAGAUAGUUACGUCCUACUGAAAGUCCAAGGUCUUGUUAAAAUGGUUCUAAGGGUGCAUGUUUUAUUAUUUAACUUUUGUGAAUAUUAUUUAAUAACAUAAUUUAAAGUUAUUAUAUACAUGAACAUGCAAGUUUGAAUAAAAUUUGAUGUUUU